GACCGGAGGAUGUACUGAGCAAGACAAGAACGAAAUACUCAACCUAUGUAAAGACAACGUCAAGCGUGGUGCUCCUGUUGUUACAUUGCCACUAGACUGUCCCUGUUGCGUGAAGGCAAAAAAGGUCAAGGACAUGCUGUGCAUCCUCCAAUGGAUGACAUUUCCAGAGAAGAGGAUAUACGAUGAGAAUAAGAUUAUCCGCCUUCAAUGGUGGUGCAAAGUAAACCAGAUCACUGUGUAGAGGGUCGCAAAUGGAGUGGAGUGCAUGCGCGUAAUAAGGAGUGGCAGACAAGGAAAAACGAGUGCUAGUCAAUGAAAAUUAAUGAUCAAUGGGUCACAUAUUGUAAUAUGUAAUCUUUUUAUUAAUUGACUAGUGUUUGAUCAA